GAUGAACGCUAGCGAUAGGCUUAACACAUGCAAGUCGAGGGGCAGCAUGGUCUUAGCUUGCUAAGACUGAUGGCGACCGGCGCACGGGUGCGUAACGCGUAUGCAACUUGCCUCACAGAGGGGGAUAACCCGUCGAAAGACGGACUAAUACCGCGUACACUUGGGAUAGGGCAUCCUGACCCAAGGAAAUGAAAUUCGCUGUGAGAUAGGCAUGCGUCCCAUUAGCUAGUUGGUGAGGUAACGGCUCACCAAGGCGACGAUGGGUAGGGGAACUGAGAGGUUGAACCCCCACACUGGUACUGAGACACGGACCAGAAUCCUACGGGCGGCAGCAGUGAGGAAUAUUGGUCAAUGGGCGAGAGCCUGAACCAGCCAAGUCGCGUGAAGGAUGACUGUCUUAUGGAUUGUAAACUUCUUUUAGACGGGAAUAACAAGAGCCACGUGUGGCUCCCUGCAUGUACCGUAUGAAUAAGCAUCGGCUAACUCCGUG
rnacentral:rRNA from 1 species